CAGGCUUGAUGUACUUCAAGAUCAAAGGAAUGGAGAACAACCAGAAAAAAGUUGCGGUCAUCACCAAAAAACCUCCCCCACUCGGACCUGGUUCAGACGAGCCCCCAGAAACAGAGUUGAUGACGUUCCAGGA
rnacentral:ribozyme from 1 species